UACGGAGGGUGCAAGCGUUGCUCGGAAUUAUUGGGCGUAAAGGGUAAGUAGGUGGUCUCAUUUGUCUGGGGUGAAAGCCUUGGGCUUAACCCAAGAAGUGCCCCAGAAACGGUGAGACUAGAGUCCUGGAGAGGUAAGUGGAAUUCCCGGUGUAGCGGUGAAAUGCGUAGAGAUCGGGAGGAACACCAGAGGCGAAGGCGGCUUACUGGACAGGUACUGACACUCAACUACGAAAGCGUGGGGAGCAAACAGG
rnacentral:rRNA from 1 species